rnacentral:rRNA from 1 species
AAGGGUGCGUAGGCGGCCUGUUAAGUCAGGGGUGAAAGACGGUAGCUCAACUAUCGCAGUGCCCUUGAUACUGAUGGGCUUGAAUUGACUAGAGGUAGGCGGAAUGUGACAAGUAGCGGUGAAAUGCAUAGAUAUGUCACAGAACACCGAUUGCGAAGGCAGCUUACUAUGGUCUUAUUGACGCUGAGGCACGAAAGCGUGGGGAUCAAACAGGAUUAGAUACCCCGGGU